AGAAAUCUAACAAAAGAACUAAAGAGAUUAAUUUUACAAAAUAUAGGUACGUCUUAAUUAGGUUUUUAAAGAAAUAGAGACUACGUAGUUAAUUUGGAUGAAUUAUAGGGACCCGAUGAUAAUUUACCCUUUUUGAUAAGAAACUGACGUUGUUAUUAAAAGUUCUAACCUUUUCCCUUUAAUCCUCUGUUACACAAACGAACAAAAAGCUAUGACUCUUCAAAGUGGUAUGUCCAUG
rnacentral:misc_RNA from 1 species